AUGCCCAUAGCAGUGACAUCAGCAGCACUCGUCUCCACUAACCAGCCAAGCACAAACCCACUGUUGUUUGUCAGGUAUGAUAUGAAUGAUUAUGGUUUAGCUGAACCUGACACUACAGUCACAACAAAUGAGAACAGACAUUUUGUUACAAACUGUUACUAUAAUUUCUUGCGAAAGACAAAAGGCCAACUUAAAAAAGCUCACUAUAAUGAUAGAUGGAGCGAGAAGAAUGAGAAAGGGGGGAGAAGAGAGAAAUGCAGAGAGCCCUCCUGUACACGCAGGAAACUUGCUGAAACUCAGCCUUCUCUAAUAUUCACUGCUACACAUGCUUUAGUGCUCCACUCCUCGCUCCUCGCUCCACUCCUCACUCCUCACUCCAAGCAUGCAAGGCCCCCUUCCACUCUCUCACACACUUAUAACACAAUCUCACCAGACAAAGUUCUGAGCCACACAGAGAGAAGCAAAUACAGUUGAAGUCAGAAGUUUACAUACACCGUAGGCAAAUACAUUUAAACUUAGUUUUUCACAAUUCCUGACAUUUAAUCCUAGUAGAAAAUCCCUGUCUAAGGUCAGUUAAAAUAAAGUGGUGAUCCUAAGAAUGUAAAAUGUCAGAAUAGUACAACAUGAUGCUGCCACCCUCGUGCUUCACGGUUGGGAUGGUGUUCUUCGGCUUGCAAGCCGGCCCCUUUUUCCUCCAAACAUAACAAUGGUCAUUAUGGCCAAACAGUUCUAUUUUUGUUUUAUCAGACCAGAGGACAUUUUUCCAAAAUGUACAAUCUUUGUCCCCAUGUGUAGUUGCAAACCGUAGUCUGGCUUUUUAUGCCGGUUUAAGAGCAGUGGCUUCUUCCUUGCUGAGCGGCCUUUCAGGUUAUGUAGAUAUAGAAUUCGUAUUACUGUGGAUAUAGAUACUUUUGUACCCGUUUCCUCCAGCAUCUUCACAAGGUCCUUUGCUGUUGUUCUUGGAUUGGUGUGCAUUUUUCGCACCAAAGUACGUUCAUCUCUAGGAAACAGAACACGUCUCCUUCCUGAGCGGUAUGAUGGCUGCGUGGUCCCAUGGUGUUUAUACUUGCGUACUAUUGUUUGUACAGUUUGGAAAUUGCUCCCAAGGAUGAACCAGACUAAAAUAUUUUUUCUGAGGUCUUGGCUGAUUUCUUUUGAUUUUCCCAUGAUGUCAAGCAAAGAGGCACUGAGUUUGAAGGUAGGCCUUGAAAUACAUAAUCUAUCUGUAAACAAUUGCUGGAGAAAUGACUAGUAGAUGUCCUAACCGACUUGCCAAAACUAUAGUUUGUUAACAAGAAAUUUAUAGAGUGGUUGAAAAACGAGUUUUAAUGACUCCAACAUAAGUGUAUGUAAACUUACAUGCAUGAACACACUCACACACGCUCUCUGACAUGUCUUCAGAGGGGUACAGGAAACUCACUUCACUGAUUUAAACAUCACUUUCUACAUUACAAAUCUACUCACUCUCUGUGUGAUAUUUCUGGUGACGACAACGGCUGAGAGGACAAGGGAUGAAUAUGACAGUGGUUUUAAAAAGGUUUUAGAGCCGAGUGUCAAGGGAAGCUGUUGAUCUUCCAAUGUCCUCAGAGCUUUACAUGGAAGACAAGGACGCUGGGCUCUGAGAUCUCUAAAAGACAGAGACUCUGAGAGAAGUCUGAUUUCUGACGCUGUGAGUUAAAAUCCUUGAAUACAAUCCGACACGAAAGAUCUCGGUUCACAACUAAGUCGUUCUGAUCUAACUAAGAGUCAAUCUGAUCUAACUUCGACACUUACUUUUGUUGCAUUACACUUGUGCUUUGGCAAUACACAUAUGACCUUCCAUGUCUUAAAGUAAUUAUACAUUAAUAUAUAUACACACAGUAGCAGUCAAAAGUUUGGAUACACCUACUCAUUCAAGUGUUUUUCUUUAUUUUUACUAUUUUCUAAAUUGUAGAAUAAUAGUGAAGACAUCAAAACUAUGAAAUAACAUUUGGAAUCAAGUAGUAACCAAAAAAGUGUUAAACAAAAUGACUGCAGAAUGCUGUGGUAGCCAUGCUGGUUAAGAGUGCCUUGAAUUCUAAAUAAAUCAAUGACAGUGUCACCAGCAAAGCACCCCCACACCUCCUCCUCCAUGCUUCACGGUGGAAAUCACACAUGCAGAGAUCAUCUGUUCACCUACUCUGCGUCUCACAAAGACACAGAGGUUGGAACCAAAAAUCGCAAAUUUGGACUCAUCAGACCAAAGGACAGAUGUCCACCGGUCUAACGUCCAUUGCUCGUCUUUCUUGGCCCAAGCAAGUAUUUUCUUCUGUGCUUUAAAGCUGCACUAUGCAGAAAUGUCUCCAUUUCCUGAUUGCUAAAAUUCUAAUAGUUCGCCUAAUUUUUGUUUAUGUGAAAAAACAAGCAAGUUUUUUUUUUAUUUUUUUAUUUUUUUAUUUUACCUUUAUUUAACCAGGCAAGUCAGUUAAGAACAAAUUCUUAUUUUCAAUGACGGCCUGGGAACAGUGGGUUAACUGCCUGUUCAGGGGCAGAACGACAGAUUUGUACCUUGUCAGCUCGGGGGUUUGAACUCGCAACCUUCCAGUUACUAGUCCAACGCUCUAACCACUAGGCUACCCUGCCGCCCCAGUAUAGCGUAGAGAAUCAUUAUACCAUCUAAACCGCUGUGAAAUAUAUUUUCCAUAAGCAAAAGUAUUGUAUUUUCAGCUGUUUGAAGUUGGUGUACAAAACCCAAAGUAAAAGACACAAAAACUAAACUUAAGAAUGUGAAGCAUAGAAAUAGUGGACAUAGAACAUAUUUAUGGCUUCUUAGACUUGCUUUCAAUGAGAAUGAUGGAUCGCCCAAAAAGUUACCUAUUGCAGCUUUAAAUAUGCUACAUUUCAGCGACUAAUACCACUGGUCAUACCGUUAGUAUGCACAGACUCAUGCAUGCACAAGCACACUAAUGUGUCGUCCCCACCAAACGUCAGAUGGCCGUCCCCGCAGAACGUCAGGUGGCCGUUCCCGCAGAACGUCAGAUGGCCGUCCCCGCAGAACGUCAGACGGCCGUCCUCUCCGAACGUCAGACGGCCGNNNNNNNNNNGACACUUACUUUUGUUGCAUUACACUUGUGCUUUGGCAAUACACAUAUGACCUUCCAUGUCUUAAAGUAAUUAUACAUUAAUAUAUAUACACACAGUAGCAGUCAAAAGUUUGGAUACACCUACUCAUUCAAGUGUUUUUCUUUAUUUUUACUAUUUUCUAAAUUGUAGAAUAAUAGUGAAGACAUCAAAACUAUGAAAUAACAUUUGGAAUCAAG
rnacentral:lncRNA from 13 species